AAUUCACAGCUCACUGGCUUAAGAGGUGUCAGAAACCGGUUCAUUUCGUGCGGCUCGAGUUGCACGUACUAACUAAUAAGUGGUGCUCAUGUAAGUUCCUUGGUUGUGACGUUCCAACCCGAUUGUGGUGGCUAGAGAACGGGGAGCUCGCAACCAGCCUCACUUCUUCGUCGCAGCCAGGGCGAGUGACUCACUUAGCUGUAGCGUCGUUCAGAGAAACAAGGUGAUUACACGUUAGGCAGAUGAAUAGGGGUGACACUAGAGAGUGCCGGGGAGCAUGCACGCGAGAAAUAUAGGGUAGCGUAGCGGGUGUGGCCGUGUGCAUCCACUUUCACGUAAGUCGGGUUCAGCAGUGGAACAAAUUAGGAAUGCUUGUUUUUUUAAACGCUGCACUCCUCCUUGAAAUAGAUUUUCGCCUCAUUUUAUAGACAAAUCAGUGGUCCAUACAACCCACAUACAAAUGUAACCAUAGACAGCGGCCGAGGCAAUUACCCACUUUAGCCCAAAGAAAAUAAAAGAAAUAAGAAAAAAACCACCUAGUGACCGGGGAGACUCGUCCCUAUAUGGAGGCAAAGGCGUCGCGCCGUAGCCUGCAUCCACCAUCCGUCAAGACGAUUCCUGUACCACUACCUAGAGAGCGGGCGUCAAUGCUACAUAAAAGCAAGGAAUUUAAAGGGGUCACACGCGUGUCUCUCGAAGAUCCGUUCUAUCAUCAUCUUAUUGCGUGUCGUCCAGAUGGCCCAUGCCAUAGCUGCAAAGAUCAGGCACAAUAAGCGGCGGCGCCGCCCAGGAUGGUAG
rnacentral:lncRNA from 1 species